GACGAACGCUGGCGGCGUGCCUAAUACAUGCAAGUCGAGCGAUGAUUAAAGAUAGCUUGCUAUUUUUAUGAAGAGCGGCGAACGGGUGAGUAACGCGUGGGAAAUCUGCCGAGUAGCGGGGGACAACGUUUGGAAACGAACGCUAAUACCGCAUAACAAUGAGAAUCGCAUGAUUCUUAUUUGAAAGAAGCAAUUGCUGCCAUACUUUAUGGACCCGCGUUGCAUUAGCUAGUUGGUAGUGUAAAGGACUACCAAGGCGAUGAUACAUAGCCGACCUGAGAGGGUGAUCGGCCACACUGGGACUGAGACACGGCCCAGACUCCUACGGGAGGCAGCAGUAGGGAAUCUUCGGCAAUGGGGGCAACCCUGACCGAGCAACGCCGCGUGAGUGAAGAAGGUUUUCGGAUCGUAAAGCUCUGUUGUAAGAGAAGAACGUGUGUGAGAGUGGAAAGUUCACACAGUGACGGUAACUUACCAGAAAGGGACGGCUAACUACGUGCCAGCAGCCGCAGUAA
rnacentral:rRNA from 1 species